GGCAGUGCUGGUGCUGCUUUCCAUAUCACUAACCGGGAGCGCAAUAAAUAGCGUUCGGCUCGUUGUAAGGCUCCUGAAAUGAAUGUGUGCAGGGACUCGGGUUAGCCCUUCUCUCCGGUGCAGGAGGGGUGUCUGCUGCUGGAUACCUCCACCUUUCUCUCCUGCCUUCACUGCUGGGGCUGCUGGGCUCCAGUGGGUCGAGUGGCGCUGCCCAACUUCUCACCAGCCUUGCAGGUAGAGGAGAAUCCGUAACAAGAUUGGGGAGAAAAAGAAGAUACAAGGUUGUUGUUUUUUUCCAGUCCAUGGAAAAGUAACCUGUUGGAUUAUCAUCUGGAAACUGUGGAAAGUACCAACAUGAGCAACGAGGGGCCAGUGAACCCCGGCACAUCUACAGUGCCUGAGGGCCUGAAGAGAAAGAGGGGAAGACCAAAGAAGCAGCCCCAGGAGGAGGCUGUGGGACCGUUGCCAGCAAAGAAACCACGAGGAAGACCAAAAGGAAGCAAGAAGGUGACUGCUGUAUCUGGACAAAUGGUAGAGUCUUCUGGGAAAAGGCCAAGAGGGAGGCCCCGCAAGUGGCCCAAACCAGUGGCCCAAGAAGGAGCGUCUCAGGAAGGAAAUCCUCAGGGAAGCAGUGACUGGAAUUUGAACUCAGCGCCAGCCACCCAAGGCAUCACUGGAAAAGACGGUUCCAGGCCCGGCAAAACUACUGGUGUUAGGAGAUCUCUGAGCAACAUCCCUGCCACAGCUCAGUAGUAUGCCACCUGUUCAUGUCCUGCUGAAGCCAAAGGACUGGAAAUCAAACUGGAUUUUUAAUGUCACACUUCAGAUUCUUCCGUUGUGAUAGUUUUGGUCAAACUGGAUUUUUAAUGUCAUACUUCAGAUUCUUCCGUUGUGAUAGUUUUGGCCAAGCUUUCUCUCCGGUUGUCUGCUGGCUUACCCCAAACAUAGAACAGGGACUUAGGGGAAGAAAUGGCAAAUGCCUUGUUGGAGAGAUGCUUUUCACAGUUUGUAGUGUAUGUCUUUUGUGAAGUUAUUAAUCUUUCUUAAAAAUACUUGGAUAACACGGUGCCUUGCCCUGCCACGGACAGCAAUAGUUCAACAGAAAGGUAGCAUUGACUCAGUAAUGCAGAAUGCAGUACAGGAAACCUAUUUACACAGCUAAUUGCUG
rnacentral:lncRNA from 1 species